GGGUCAUUGGAAACUGGAAAACUUGAGUGCAGAAGAGGAAAGUGGAAUUCCAUGUGUAGCGGUGAAAUGCGCAGAGAUAUGGAGGAACACCAGUGGCGAAGGCGACUUUCUGGUCUGCAACUGACGCUGAUGUGCGAAAGGCGUGGGGAUCAAGCAGGAUAAAAUACCCUGGUAGUCCACGCCGUAAACGAUGAGUGCUAAGUGUAAGGGGGUUUCCGCCCCUUAGUGCUGCAGCUAACGCAUUAAGCACUCCGCCUGGGGAGUACGGCCCGCAAGGCUGAAACUCAAAGGAAUUUGACGGGGACCCGCACAAGCGGUGGAGCAUGUGGUUUAAUUCGAAGCAACGCGAAGAACCUUACCAAAUCUUGACAUCCUUUGACCGCUCUAGAGAUAGAGUCUUCCCCUUCGGGGGACAAAGUGACAGGUGGUGCAUGGUUGUCGUCAGCUCGUGUCGUGAGAUGUUGGGUUAAGUCCCGCAACGAGCGCAACCCUUAAGCUUAGUUGCCAGCAUUAAGUUGGGCACUCUAAGUUGACUGCCGGUGACAAACCGGAGGAAGGUGGGGAUGACGUCAAAUCAUCAUGCCCCUUAUGAUUUGGGCUACACACGUGCUACAAUGGACAGUACAAAGGGCAGCGAAACCGCGAGGUCAAGCAAAUCCCAUAAAGCUGUUCUCAGUUCGGAUUGUAGUCUGCAACUCGACUACAUGAAGCUGGAAUCGCUAGUAAUUGUAGAUCAGCAUGCUACGGUGAAUACGUUCCCGGGUCUUGCACACACCGCC
rnacentral:rRNA from 1 species